AAUGUUCCAGGCUCCGCCUCUCACUGAGUCGAGGUCUGAAGUGACUGCUGGGUUCCCAACACCGAAACGGAGUCCUUCUGACACUCCUCUGAGGUGAGUCUGCAUGCUGAACUCUGGUUGAAGAGGACGAGCCCCACGGGAGCCUUCUGGAUAAGAGGGAUAGGCCCCAAAGGGGAGGCUCUUCUGGAUAAGAGGGAUGGAUAUUCAAGGUCCUCGACCUGGCUUAGGAAGAGAAUUUCUGGCAGGAAACUCUUUCCUCGUCCUCCCUCCACACUAAGUGGGAGAUCCUGUAUCCUGGUUCUGCCUUUCAUGAGAGACCCGAUUUUGGUUUUGCUUGGGUGAAUGGCCCGCCAACUGUGUGAAUGACUGAAUGCAUGAAGAGCACGUUUGGUUCAGAGAGUCGCCUGAACGCGUGACAGGCAAGUUUGGCUUUGGGAGCUGUUGAAUUGAUUUCUUGAUUUUGCGGCUGGUGUUUCUGUUUUGUCCCCAAAGGGAGCUGAUUAAAAUUCUGCCUGUUUUUCCCUCAUUCUGCCAGCAGGUGGCACCCCCUGCUGUUGUUGGCGGUUGGUCUUUUGGCACCCCAACGUCUCUCCCACCGCAGGCUCGCACCUCCCCGCCCCCUACACACACCCCGGCCCCGGCACGCGGCAAGGUCCCUGGGACCUGCCUAGGCUGCGUUCGCUCCGGGCGACCGCCAGGGGGCGGGGCGGGCCCGCCGCUCCUCUGGGUUCUGCGCGGAGCCGGGGCGGGCGGCGUCGAUGCUCCCGGGCGAGCCGGCGAGCUGGUGAGCCAGCUCCCUCGCCGGGCGGUGGCGGCCCCACUCCGUUUAUUGUCCUGCCGGCCUCCGAGGCACCUUUGGCUCCCCGCUUGAGGGCCCGCCAUGCCCCAUACUGGACCCAGAACCAGCCUUUGUUUUUCUGUCAUACAAGACGCUGCUCCCUCCGAGGCGGGGGCAAUGAUUUAAAGGAAGGGCGUUGCCCUUCCCUUGAUCUGUGUUCUGUUCACUUCAGAUCUGUAUAACCGGAAGACCCAGACCUCUUUUUCUGAUAAGCCCCAAGGCCUACAACGGCUAUCCUGGAAUCUGUGCCUCUCAUCUAUCGCCCCAACUAAGUAAGGUGUUCAUCUGCAAUUCCUUCUCUGUUUACUUCAGAGAGGGAUGUAUGGGGCCGAGGCGAGGAAGGCUUUUUUGGGGACUCAUCCAUUGGACAGAUGCUGAAAAGCUACUCGAUUUGAGGCAGCGUUUCCAUCCAAAUGCCUUAAUUGGGACCCCAAUACGUAUGCAGGUUCCCAGGCCCUGGACACUUGUCUCCAGUAUCUUAUGCUGGAGUUCAGGGUGCAGCUUGAAACAACUAAUUUGUCUAAAACUAUUGAGGCUCUUCAGGGCAGGAGAGUCUCCCGAGGCAUUUCUCGAGGGGAAAAGGGCCUUCAGAUUUUACAUCCCAUUUGAUCCACUCGCUCCGAAAAAUGCUAGAGCACUAAAUUUGGCUCUUGUCACUCAAUCACCUCCGGGCGUCCAUAAAAACUCCGAAUGCUAGAGGGCUUUGCAGCUCAUUGCGGUAGCCCAAAAUGUUCACAAUAACUGAGAUGAUACAAGGCAGAGAGGCAGGAUGUGUUGGCUGCUGAAAGAGCUGUAUGCAGGCAAGCAAGGCUUAUGCUGACUGUGUUCCAGUCAGCUCACUCUGAGCCCCUAUGGCUACUUCUGUAUUGUUUGUGUCCAAGGGAGAGAUCCUCAAAAAAAAAAAAUAAUAACAAUAAUUAUCAGUAAAAAGAUGCCAGUGUGGGGAGUGGGCACCAUUAAGGAAAAUCACCUUACACCUAAAAGAACAGUUAGUCUCACACCUGCAUGGUGGUCCUAGAUUGCCCUUUCUCCCUUUCGGGCAAAGAUGUUUUUCAAAAAUCAGGCACCACUGUGAUGGCUAAAAAAACUCCACUUUGUGCUAGGCAUCCACCUUGGAGCCUAAUAUCCGUUGGUUCUGGACUCAAGUUCCUGGAAGAUAAGUUCCCGGCAACCCUGACUGCUUGACCCCAGAAAUGUACAGCCCUGACCAUCUGCUUGUUGUGAUAUGACUAACUGCUGAUUUUGAUUUCUGUGACCUGCUUACGCAGACAUUCAAGGACUAUUUUGAGAUCACCUUGCCUAUCUAAUCUUGGCAGAGACAAACAACUCUUGUGGGUUUCAUCUUUAAAAGCUCGUCCUUCACCUACCUCUGGGCAGCACAUCUCUAAUUUGAGCUACAGACUUCAGCCCUGCUAGCAGCUUUAAUAAAUUUGCUUAAUUAGAAUCUGAGUUGGGUCUGGGGGUCUUUUCUGGGUGUUCUGGAACUCUGUAACAUCACUAUCACCUUUACUCUCCAAGAAAGCUAAAAUGUCCUUUAUGCCUGUCCUACCAACUCAGCUUAACUGUCCUCUGUCUGAAGAACAUCUUCUAGCUCCCCCACUCACAACAGAAACAAAUCCAGACCCAGGGCCCCUGUUUGAGGACUUGCAACAGCAAUUUCCUAACAUAUGGGCUGAGAUAAACCCUCCUGGCUUGGCAGCACACUGUCCACCAGUUAUGGUAAGUCUCUUGGCUACAGCCGUACUGACAGAGGACUGUCAAUAUCCCUUGAACCAAAAGACUAGACUGGAAAUUGCUAGACUGGAAGCUAACCUCCUCACCCCAUGCCAGUCAGCUUGGAAUAUGCCUUCAUCGCCUGUGUAUAAGCCAGGGACCUCAGGUUAUCAGUCAGCCCAGGACCUACUGGAGACAAAUCACCGAUGGGCUGAAAUCAUUCAUCUGACAGUUCCAAAUCUGUACACUUUGCUCAGUCUCCUCCCACCAGACCACCAGGUCUGUCCAGUCCUGGUCCUUAAGGAUGCUUGCUUCUCUAGUUCCCUGGGGCCAGUUAGCUAGCCCAUAUUUGCCUUCCCCCCUGCUGUGUGAGCCCUCCUAAGAGGGACAAGUUCCUGCAUCACUCAGUACCGGAGUCCGUAGCUUCAUCAGCUUGGCCUCACUUUUGCUACUGUACAGUCUCAACCUUUCGACAUUGAUGCUGAUGACAACCCCAAGGUCCCCCUCCAUAACUGUGGGGACUUGAUGGACAUAUCUCAAGCCAUUCACCCAGACCUCCGGGAUACUCCCCUACCCGAGGCAUAGACCUAUUGACUGCUGAAGGAAAGACUGUUAAAGGGGGAAUUAUUGUUCCUCUUAAAGCGAUCUGGCUCCCCAAGGAGGUGGCUAUUAUAUAUUGCAAGGGGCAUCAAACAGCCAACACACCAGAAGCCCAAGGAAAUCAGAGGGCCGAUCAGGCAGCCCGGUAAGCAGCAGGGAUUCCUGCAGAGUCCUGUUUUGUCUUGACCAUUGCUUUUUCUGAUUCCCAGCUGUCUCGCCAGCCCACCUGCUCCCAAGAAGAAGAGGACAAGGCCUGCUCCAGGAUGCUAAAUAGGAUCCAGCUGGAUAGUGGAUCUUACUAGACUAACCGAGUUGUUAUCUUCCAGGUCCAGACUGCAGUCCAUUCUAGGGUUCAAGAUGCCCUUCUGGUUACCUCCUCAGUGCCCCGUCCCUCCUUCUGACCCAGGGACCCAGGUACAUCAAGAAGUUUCAGAAAAGAGGAUUGACACCUGCCUGGAAAGGACUCCCACUGUUACGCUGACCACAUCAGCUGCUACAAUCAAGGUUGACCAGAUGUCUGCCUGGGUUCACCACGCCCUUGCCAAGCCUGUUCCAAACCAGGACCAGAAAUGAACCAUCUCACUUAGACCAGAUCCUCCCAGGCUAAGACUCUCUCAGAAUAGGACUCCUUUUUGGUUAUGCAUCCCCCUUUCUGCCUCUUGUAAUACUAGUCUCAUGGUUACUCGUAACUCAGAAACUUAUUUCUCUUCCACAGGAACUCAGCUGGUGUGUACCGCCAGUCUCACCCGCUGUAUGACCUCAGAACAUCUGUGUAAUAAUCCAGUUUUAUGUAUGGUUGUACAUGUAUCCCCCCCCCCCAGAGUGAAUGCUUAUUCAGGACCAGAGGGGACUCACCUCUUGUUCCCCUUUGGGCUGUCCCACUGGUGGCAUAAGAGAGCUGCCCCUCUCCUUGUUCCGGUGAUGGUAGAAAUGGGGGUAGCGGGCCCUGCUGCCUUGAGAACUACGGUUCUAACUGGGAGAAAUGGGCCUUUAACAGUUAUCAAUUAGAUGCACACCUCAGACGCCUUCUUCCUCAAUAUGCCUCAGGUCUAGGUAGAGUCUCUGGCGGAAGUCUCCCCCAAACCAGCGGGGCUUAGACUUGCUUUUCACGUCCCAGAGAGGACUUUAUAUGACACUGGGAAAGGCUUGUCCUUCCUAUGCUAGCAAAUCAGGAGUUCUCAAAGAGACUUUACAAAAAGUUAAAAAUAAUUUAGAGAAAGGACAACAGGAGUGAAACGGGGAGGUGGUGGCGCACGCCUUUAAUCCCAGCACUCGGGAGGCAGAGCCAGGCGGAUCUCUGUGAGUUCGAGGCCAGCCUGGGCUACAAAGCUAGUUCCAGGGUAGCCGGGGCUGCUACACAGAGAAAUGCUGUCUUGGAAAAAAAAAAAACCAAACCAAACCAAACAAACAAAAAGAGACAACAGGAAUGUAAAUCAAAUAAUUUGUGGUACCAUAAAAUACUGGGUGAAAACCAUGGCUCACUACCUCCUCCCUGGCCUUGCAGGCCCCUUUCGCCUACUUUUUAUAAGACCUGCUGAGAAGCCAUACAUAAUAAAUUACCUCCGUUAAGCCAAUGAUCCUCAGGACUCAGUCUGUACCCCUUAGCCAAGAUCAAAGAUUUGAAAAUAACUUAAAAAAGGGGAGGGGGAUGAAAUGACCAAAGUAACGCCAUCAUGUUCUGACUCCAUUUUUGUUCGUUUGGACAGUUCUCAGCCCUUUACCCUCCCUCCCCUCAACAGUCACACCUGCCUUGACAACACUUGAGAUGUCCAUGGUCUUGACUAUGGUCCAGAUAUGUUAACCAAAAUAAUUGGCAAGUUACAUCUAAAGUAACUACCGUGCUUUGCCAGGAACAAAGGUUUCAAGGUUACUCUGACCUUCAUCUAACUUUGAUGCAUCCUUGUGGGUUUCGCCUUUCCAAAUGCUAUGUCCCUAAAUACAGGCACCAAGAGGCUCAAGCCCGCUCUUGGGCUGGCCGUCAAUAAAAAGUACUUAAACUCUUAA